AUACGGAGGGGACUAGCGUUGUUCGGAAUUACUGGGCGUAAAGCGUACGUAGGCGGAUCAGAAAGUAUGGGGUGAAAUCCCAGGGCUCAACCCUGGAACUGCCUCAUAAACUCCUGGUCUUGAGUUCGAGAGAGGUGAGUGGAAUUCCGAGUGUAGAGGUGAAAUUCGUAGAUAUUCGGAGGAACACCAGUGGCGAAGGCGGCUCACUGGCUCAUUACUGACGCUCAGGCACGAAAGCGUGGGGAGCGAACAGGAUUAGAAACCCCUGUAGUCC
rnacentral:rRNA from 1 species